UUGGGCAUGGCCAUUUUGGUACUGCAUCGGUUUUUGGAGUCGACAUUCGCAGGUUCGAAUCCUGCCGCCCCAGCCA
rnacentral:tRNA from 1 species